rnacentral:misc_RNA from 1 species
GGUUCAUUGAUUUUGUUUGAAGGAAUCUGAAUUGGCGGGAGCCAACCGUCAAUUAUGUGGUUUUAGGAGGUGGGUUUUGAUUGGAUUUGGAUUUGGGAUUGGAAAACGUUUGAAUUGUUGGGAGUUUUGAUGGCUAACCCAUCUGGGAACCAUCAAGAAGCUGGCCAACCAUCGUCUUCCUUCGAUGGAGGGAACCCCAGCAACGGUAAUUCGACCCCUGUGCCUGCAGCGGAUAAUUCGAGCUCGG